UUUAAGUUUGGUGGGUUAUGGAUGCAAUUUUGAAAACCCAAUUGGAGCAUAAUCUGUUUAACUAUAAGGAACUAUUUGAAUGUUACUGUAUGCUGAACCCUUCAGUCCCCAACAGAGCAUCUGAUUUGUAAAGAUUGUAUCUUUAUGCAGAAACAGUAAUUCGAUUGGUUUGUUUGUUUGUUUUUCAAUUCGUGCUAGAUAAUUUACAUGUGGGGUUCUUUCUGUAACCCAUUUCAAUCUUGCCCAACUAAUCUUCACUGGCUUUUAUGAACUUCAAGUUUUCACUUUUAUGCUUGACAGUUGAUAUGAGGUGCUUAUGCUUUAUGAAAUAUGAUUCAAAUGUUUGUGUGAAUCGUGUUUCUCAUUUUUGGCAUUUAUAUGGUUUGAUGCGGUUGGUAUUCUGUUCCUGCAAAUGGUCUAAUUUUGUAGCACAUUGUGAUUUCUGUCAGAGUGGGAAUUGUACUGUGACCAAAGCACUCUUCAAUAUUAUUCUUUUGAACAUUCCUGGUUUUUGUUAAGUAUAAUGUUUGCGAGUUCCAGAAGCUCUGUUUGUUGCCAGUCAGGAAGUAAUCGGCCAGCUGAAGCAGCUUUGUCACUCUUCUACUGGCAUUUGAUAUGGAUCAUAGGCUAGAUGAGGCUGAAUCACUGUGGAACAUGAUUCUGUAU